UGAGGAGUAUUGAAUUUAUCAAGGGAGAUUUGUCAAAAUUCAUUCAAACUACACUUUUUCUCCAACUACACUUAAAUAUUAUAUCAGAUCCUUUGGGUGGGGGAAAAUUUUGACAAAGCUUUCUUGAUGAUUCUAAUUUAAAAAUACCUCCACCAGAUUUUUUAUACUCUUGGGCUUCCACUGGCUCCAAAUGGCAUAAUUUCCUUCAUAGAGCUUCAUAGUCACCCAAGAACUGUUUUUGACAAUUAGUAAGACAGGAUGAAUUAUGAGAUCACAGUUUGUGUGACAGUUGAGAGCAAAUGCUUGAUGCAUUAUGACUAAACUGGGAGGAUGUAGAUAAAUGAUGGAUAGACUCCAAAUGCCAAAGAAACUACCCCACAGUAAACUGCUGAAAACAGAAAUGUCAGAACUGACCCUAAGCAUCCGUGAAGCUCCAAAGUAAGCCAAGAAGUAAGGUUUGAGAAGGUGGAUCUAUGUCACAUUUAGAAGAGCCAAAUGGACCCUUGAAUGGAAGUCCCCAGUAAUUUCACCAUUACUAUACCUUUCACUGCCCAUAAAGCUGAAGACUUCUGAUGCCCAGUCCCACUAACUAAGCUGUGAGGAAACCACUGUGCUCAGUGUUCUUCAGUAAGAAGAAAAUUUGUGUAAGACUCAGAAAUCAAGUGGAAAAUUUCCAGAGAAAGGAAAGCAAAGAGAAAUCUACAACAAAAGGAUAUAUUACUUUUAAAAGCCGCAGAAAGAACAAUAGAAAACAAGUCUGUGAGAAGCCGGAGGAAACAAUUCUCUGUUGAAGGGAAGCUCAGAGAGUCCUGGGCAGCGGAGAAACUCAGACUAUCAGAUGCGAAAAUCUGUCAUCAGAGCGUGUUCCAGGAUCGCUCUGAAGGCAAUGGCACAGUCUAGUGAUUAAAGGUGAGGUCACUAAGGCCAGACUGCUGGGGAUAAAAGAUCAGUUUGGACAAGUCUUAGUUAUGUCGUCAAAGGCAAGUAGCUUGACACCUCUACUUUCUUUAUUUGUGGAAUGAGAAUAAUGAUACUACUUUUCUGACGGGGUUGUGGUUGGGAACAAAUGACAUAAUGCACCUGCCCAGACCAGAGUGAGAGUUCAAGAAAUGUUGGCUAUUAUUACUGAAGGAGAGUUGUUCUGAGUUUUAGGCUUUGAGAAGUCCAGUGAGAAAGUAAUUCAAAGCAUUCCUUCAUUCAUUCUAAGAAUGACUGGGCCCCACUAACCACCAGGCU
rnacentral:lncRNA from 1 species